rnacentral:rRNA from 1 species
UGGGGAAUAUUGGACAAUGGGGGCAACCCUGAUCCAGCCAUGCCGCGUGAGUGAUGAAGGCCUUCGGGUUGUAAAGCUCUUUUGGCGGGGACGAUGAUGACGGUACCCGCAGAAUAAGCCCCGGCUAACUUCGUGCCAGCAGCCGCGGUAAGACGAAGGGGGCUAGCGUUGUUCGGAAUUACUGGGCGUAAAGCGAGUGUAGGCGGUUGCCGUAGUCAGGUGUGAAAGCCUUGAGCUCAACUCAAGAAAUGCACUUGAUACUGGGUGACUAGAGGACCGGAGAGGAUAGUGGAAUUCCCAGUGUAGUGGUGAAAUACGUAGAGAUUGGGAAGAACACCAGUGGCGAAGGCGGCUAUCUGGACGGUUACUGACGCUAAGACUCGAAAGCGUGGGGAGCAAACAGGAUUAGAUACCCUGGUAGUCCACGCUGUAAACGAUGUCGAUUUUGGAGGUUGUGCCCUUGAGGCGUGGCUUCCGGAGCUAACGCGUUAAAUCGACCGCCUGGGGAGUACGGCCGCAAGGUUAAAACUUAAAGGAAUUGACGGGGUCUAGCUGUUUCCU